UACGUAGGGGGCAAGCGUUGUCCGGAUUUACUGGGCGUAAAGAGUGCGUAGGUGGUGCCCUAAGUCUGUUGUGAAAUCUCCCGGCUUAACUGGGAGGGUGCGGUGGAAACUGGGGUGCUUGAGUGUGGGAGAGGUAAGCGGAAUUCCUGGUGUAGCGGUGAAAUGCGUAGAUAUCAGGAGGAACACCGGUGGUGUAGACGGCUUACUGGACCACGACUGACACUGAGGCACGAAAGCGUGGGUAGCAAACAGG
rnacentral:rRNA from 1 species